ACACGACCGUACCGCAAACCGACACUGGUGCGCGAGAUGAGUAUUCUAAGGCGCUUGAGAGAACUCAGGAGAAGGAACUCGGCAAAUUGACACCGUAACUUCGGAAGAAGGUGUGCCUUUAGUAGGUGAAGUCCCUCGCGGAUGGAGCCCAAUGAGGUUGCAAAAAAUCGGUGGCUGCGACUGUUUAUUAAAAACACAGCACUCUGCAAACACGAAAGUGGACGUAUAGGGUGUGACGCCUGCCCGGUGCUGGAAGAUUAAAUGAUGGGGUGCAAGCUCUUGAUUGAAGUCCCAGUAAACGGCGGCCGUAACGAUAACGGUCCUAAGGUAGCGAAAUUCCUUGUCGGGUAAGUUCCGACCUGCACGAAUGGCGUAACGAUGGCCACACUGUCUCCUCCUGAGACUCAGCGAAGUUGAAAUGUUUGUGAUGAUGCAAUCUCCCCGCGGAAAGACGGAAAGACCCCAUGAACCUUUACUGUAGCUUUGUAUUGGACUUUGAACAGAUCUGUGUAGGAUAGGUGGGAGGCUUUGAAGCAGGGUCGCUAGAUCUUGUGGAGCCAACGUUGAAAUACCACCCUGGUGUGUUUGAGGUUCUAACCUAGGCCCGUAAUCCGGGUUGGGGACAGUGCAUGGUAGGCAGUUUGACUGGGGCGGUCUCCUCCCAAAGUGUAACGGAGGAGUUCGAAGGUACGCUAGUUACGGUCGGACAUCGUGACGAUAGUGCAAUGGCAUAAGCGUGCUUAACUGCGAGACUGACAAGUCGAGCAGAUGCGAAAGCAGGACAUAGUGAUCCGGUGGUUCUGUAUGGAAGGGCCAUCGCUCAACGGAUAAAAGGUACUCUGGGGAUAACAGGCUGAUACCGCCCAAGAGUUCAUAUCGACGGCGGUGUUUGGCACCUCGAUGUCGGCUCAUCUCAUCCUGGGGCUGUAGCCGGUCCCAAGGGUAUGGCUGUUCGCCAUUUAAAGAGGUACGUGAGCUGGGUUUAAAACGUCGUGAGACAGUUUGGUCCCUAUCUUCCGUGGGCGCUGCAGAUUUGAGGAAGCCUGCUCCUAGUACGAGAGGACCGGAGUGGACGCACCUCUGGUGUAUCGGUUGUCACGCCAGUGGCAUUGCCGAGUAGCUAUGUGCGGAAGAGAUAACCGCUGAAAGCAUCUAAGCGGGAAACUCGUUUCAAGAUGAGAUCUGCCGGGGCCUUGAGCCCCCUGAAGAGUCGUUCAAGACCAGGACGUUGAUAGGUCGGGUGUGGAAGCGCAGUAAUGCGUUAAGCUAACCGAUACUAAUUGCUCGUGCGGCUUGACCCA
rnacentral:rRNA from 1 species